ACAAAAAACACGGACACAAAUUAGGGUUUCAUAAAUCUCCUCAUUCUUAUCCGCCUCCCUCUCUCUCUCUUGCGGCGAUUCAGAAACACGAAGCUAUCUUCACCAGAUCUGUUUGAGAUUUUGCUUUCUUCGGCUGCUAUUGAUGGUGGUUGUCUGGUUAAGUUGGCAUUCCGACCACUCGACAACCGUAAGAUCGACGGAGAAGAGGUGCAACUGACACUUUUAGAUCUACGGCCCCUAAACCCUAAUGCGUUCAAACAUUCAGAUCUGGUAUAAGAUCGACGGAGAAGAGGUGCAACUGAGCUUUUAGAUCUGCUGCUCACAAACCCUAAUACGGUCAAACUUUUAGAUCUGGUAUAAGGUGGCUGAACAACAAGUGAGUAGUUUGUGUUUGGAGGCUCAGGAGUUCAUGAUUGCUGGUAGAUGGUUGGAUUUGGCUUCGUUGACGAUUACUUCUGCUGAUUUGGUGUUUUCUAAAGCGUCAUAUAAAGGUUAAAUCGUUAAACUCAAUCUGGUGAUUCAGUUUUCAGCUUUUUAUUUGUUGUGUUUCUAUGUGGCUAUUAAAAUACUUGUGUUUGUUGGUGCAACUGCUGUCGAGGAUAAGCUGCAAUAAGGGGUUUGGUUUCAAUGACACCAGCGACAGUGGUGACUUACGGUAGUGGUACUACAUCAUGCUUCAGCAGGGAGUUCUGCAACCAGACAUGUGGGGAGUAACACCUUGAGAUAUGUGGGACUGGAAAUGGUCACCAGUCGCUACCCUAGCAGGCUACCCUAGCAGUCCAGGUGGCGGUGACUCCAGUGCCACCUCCCAUAGCCAGAACAUCAUCAGCUGCAGUUAUAGCCUCUAGAGAAGAUGUGCUUACCAAAAUGGCAAUAUUUGUGUAUGGGACUUGACUGCAAAUUCGUGCAGCUGUGAGCUGAAUGAUGAACCUUUGGUUGAAGAUGAUGAUGAUGAAGAUGAUGAUGAUGAGGAUGAAGAUGAUGUUGUAGAUGCUAUUUGUGAUCCCAAAGCCAGAUGUUUUCAAGUCCGUUUUCAAGUCCCCUGCUUCAGACACAUACGUAAUAUUCGGCGAAGCAAAAAUAGAGGAUCUGAACUCACAGUUGCAGAGUCAGGCAGGAGAGCAAUUCAAAGCACCUAACCUUAGCAACGUGAUAUCGACGUCUGAGCCAACAGCCGUGGCUCAAGACGAUGAGGAUGUAGACGAGACCGGGGUUUCGAUUUGUUUUUGUUGUUCCUGUAAUGUUUGAGAUUGUUUGAUCAUGUUGUUAUCUUUUUUGCAUUGACAAUUGGGUCUUUGCUGAAUUUGAGGAUUCGAUGAAUGAUAAAGAAAAUGGUUUGUUUGAGAUGUGGUUGGGUGUUUGAUAUAGUUUUUGCAUUUUUAAAAUUAUAUUGUGCAUUGACAAUUGGGUCUUUGCUGAAUUUAAGGAUUUGAGGAUUAAUAAAGGAAAUGGUUUGUUUGAGAUAUGGUUGGGUGUUUGAUAUUGUUUUUUCAUUUUUAGAAUU
rnacentral:lncRNA from 1 species